ensembl:lncRNA
GAUCCGCGGAGAAGUCAGGGUGACCCCGCGCGCUAUAUUGCACGCGAAGUGAUAGAUGUGUCACUCUGCAAUGACUCCAGGCUCACCAAACCGUCAUCAUCUUGUUCAUUACGAAUGAAACGGAAUGCACUUGAACGGUUUUUCACGAAAAACAACAUUUGAAUCGAUGCGUUAGCUGUUCCUUCAAUUUUGGUUCCAUGCACGUUCCGGGAACGUUAGUUUAUGGUUAUU